rnacentral:rRNA from 1 species
GACGAACCGAGCGAACGUUGUUCGGAAUCACUGGGCUUAAAGGGCGCGUAGGCGGGUGCUCAAGUCCGGGGUGAAAUCCUCCAGCUCAACUGGAGAACUGCCUCGGAUACUGGGUGCUCGAGGGUGGUAGGGGGUAUGCGGAACUAUCGGUGGAGCGGUGAAAUGCGCAGAUAUCAGGAGGAACACCGGUGGCGAAAGGCGGGUCUCUGGGGCCGAUACUGACGUGAGGAGCGAAAAGCGUGGGGGAGCGAACAGG